GCUAGUGUGGAAUAGUGGUUUGAGUCCUGGAUUAGAACUCUAGAGACCAGGGUUUGAUUCCCAGCUCAGCC